GAUGAACGCUGGCGGCGUGCCUAAUACAUGCAAGUCGAGCGAACGGACGAGAAGCUUGCUUCUCUGAUGUUAGCGGCGGACGGGUGAGUAACACGUGGAUAACCUACCUAUAAGACUGGGAUAACUUCGGGAAACCGGAGCUAAUACCGGAUAAUAUUUUGAACCGCAUGGUUCAAAAGUGAAAGACGGUCUUGCUGUCACUUAUAGAUGGAUCCGCGCUGCAUUAGCUAGUUGGUAAGGUAACGGCUUACCAAGGCAACGAUGCAUAGCCGACCUGAGAGGGUCAUCGGCCAGCCUGGAACUGAGGCACGGUCCAGACUCCUACGGGAGGAAGCAGUAGGGAAUCUUCCGCAAUGGGCGAAAGCCUGACGUAGCAACGCCGCGUGAGGGAUGAAGGUCUUCGGAUCGUAAAACUAUGUUAUUAGGGAAGAACAUAUGUGUAAGUAACUGUGAACAUCUUGACGGUACCUAAUCAGAAAGCCACGGCUAACUACGUG
rnacentral:rRNA from 1 species